rnacentral:lncRNA from 1 species
GGCUAAUGCAAAGGUUAUCACAAGGCCAACAUCUAUAAAUCAGACGUCUUUUCCCCCUAAGGCAGCAGUUCUCAAAAUUUUAACACCUGUAAAAAUCACAGGGAGGGCUUAUUAAAACGCUGACUGUGGCCCCCCAUCCCCCGAGUUUGGAUUCAGGAGUUGGGGGAGGGACCAGAAUUUGCUUUUCAAACAAGUUUCUCAAGUAAUGCUGAUGCUUCUGACCCAGGGACGCCACUUGGAGAACAACUGACCCUAAAGAAACCUUCACAAAUCCAAAAAGCCAAGAUGGCCUUUCUCCAGGAGAGGAGUGGUGAGUGUUAUUGUCUUUUUUGUUUUAAUUAAGCUAGGAAAGUAAGAAAUGGCUGAAGAGCCUCUUCAUUCUACUUUCUUUUCAUGACAGCAGAUGGCACGUGAAGUUUAAAUUAUACCAUCACAUUUGUAGUAGUGAAUAUAGAACUUGCCAAAUGAUGC